rnacentral:lncRNA from 1 species
CAGGAGUUAAUAUUGACCACCUCUGGGCUACCUAUUAAAGUUUCCUCACUCCUAAGCAGGAGGAAGUUAGCCAAGAUGUGUUGGUACUAGAACAAUUCUACCUCUGGUUCCCAGUGCAGAGAACUACUUGCUUCAUUCCUGUCAGCAUGGAGAAAGUGCAAAUGUUCAAAAAUGAACCAGUGUCUUAUGGUCACCAGAAAAGUAUGUAGGAAGCUUACCUGCCUAUCACCAGAUGACCAUCAGGAAAAAGGAGAUCUGCCCUAUACUUCAUAAAUAAAAUAGAAAC